AUCAGCUGUUCGCUUCAGCGAUUCUCAAUGUUAACAAGAAUUGCUGUUGCAAUUAUGAGCGGCUGUGUGCAGAGGGUAUAAUGUGCUUGUCUUAAGUCGAAAAUAAAUCGAAACCAUUAAUUAGAAAUCCAUUAGAACCAUGGGCUCCGAGAUCUCCGACAACGACGACGGCGGUUGGACCAGGAUCAAGGACUCCGGCGAAAGACUAUGAUCUUUUUGUGGCUCUGGAGGAAAUAACCAUAGGGUGUAACUGAGCAUUUUUCAUCAAUCGGCCGUGUGAUUCAACGGGAGAAGCCGCUGAACGUCGAGAUCCGUCCGAGCUGGAAGGGGGCACCAGGAUCAUCUUCCCAAAGGAGGGCGACGUGGUGCCCAACCGUGCGCCAGGCCUCACCCGAUCUUCCGCCGGAAGUGGUGUGGUUUACGCUACACGCGCUGAAGCAGGCGCGGUAUGAUACUUCCCUGGAAGUGGCGACGCUCUUGGAUGAGCCGCUGCAUCUCUCCACCCAUGCUGAGGUGAUCAGUCCGGACUCGUCGCUCCGCUUCCCGGGUCUGGGACUGCCCCAAACGGCUCGUGCGCGGCGGCUUAAUCGUCGUCUUCUUCAUCGAAUUCCCGACACGAUGUCAGAGAAGGCCAUAUCCUCGCUGUGCUUCAUCUUGCCCUGCUCCCCAUAAGACGCGGUUACAAGCUUAUGGGGUCCAGGGCAAGAGGAAUUAGAGCGGGGAUCUGGCCUUAUGUGACAUCGUUUUCGGAAAGUCGAUGAGGAAGUCGACGAUGAGGUCGCCGCGGCACGAGCCGUUUAUCGGACGGGACAGUCCCUGACCCGGGAAGCGGUGCGUGGAGUCCGGGCUGAUCACCUCACCCUGGGUGCUUAGGUGCAGGAGCUCGCCCAAGAGCGUCGGCAACUCCAGGAGGGUACCACACCACGCCUGCUUCAGUGAGAUCAGGGCUGUGUAGCGUAAGUCGCACCCCUCCCGGCGGAAGAUCGGGUGUGGCUUGUCCCGAAGAACGAGGACCACGUCGCCUGGGACUGCUCCAUCAGUCGCGGCUCGUGCCGCGGCGACCUCAUCGUCGACUUCUCCAUCGAAAACGAUGUCUCAUCCCGAAACGAUGUCACACAGGGCCAGAUCCUCUACUUCAUCUUGCCCUGCUCCCCAUGAGUCGCUGCCACAUCGAAAUUGACGGCGUUUUCAAGUACAUAAGCUUGUAAUACCAUUGUAUUCCCCACUAUAACAUAUCCAGUAUAAGAUGUAUCAGGAUUAAGCGUCGGUGGAGCGUGUCUUCAACUAAGGAUUGUGUGAAAGCGCCAUCUUGGCGCUGCUGAUGGACGAAUGUACAUGGAGCGGGAGCGGUUCCCAAAAUAUAAAAAAAUAAAAUAAAAUAGAAACUCCUUAAUUCCGGCAAGUUCUUUUGGGCAGCUCGCUUUAACAUAUUAAAGUACUGAUUAAAUUACUGGGUAUAAGCGUUUUGGAUCAAAAGCGAUUUUAUACCUCUUGAAGAAUUCGCUGUUGAACACAAAAUAUGUAAAAGAAAUAAUCAAAAUAGAAACAAGUAUAUCUCUAUAUGUUCUUUGGGUUUCUUUGGGCAGCUUUAAGCCAUGAUACCAAGACGGUAGCCCAUCUGAGCACUAGAACGCCAUAAAAGGCUCCCAACGAUAAAAUCGGCUUCAGGGCACCCAUUCACAUAUGUUAGUAUACAACUGAUCCUGAAAAUAAAAUAUUUUUCGCAGAGAUAAAGGUAUUAUUCUUAUAUAUAACCAUAGUUGGUGUAAUUUAAAGUACUAAAUCGAUUUAAUGAUACUAAUUUAGCAUUAUACCACUUAAGAUAUAUAGACAAAGCGGAUUUGGCAAAAAAAGCAACCAAAUAGGUUAAGUUUUAACGAAAUAGUUAUUAAUAACACAAGUGUGCCAAGACUUUUGUGCAGCUAAUUUUAAAAUUUUAGUUUUAAGUGAUAAUUCAAUAAAGCAAAAUUAAUUUAUUUGUUAAAUAUUCCCAUUAUCCAAAAUAACUUUGUUGAUUUAUAUAAAAAUACCAAAAGUCAUAGCCCCUAUACAAAAUUACAUAGAUUGCCCAUACAAAGAUUACCAAACUCCAUAUUCUAGAUGUCAUUUCCUGCAGCGGUUCCAGCUCUUUGGCCGAAACCAUGUCGAAUUCUUGCACAAAGUAGUAAAAAUGUUUAUAGCAGGCAUUUACGUGGGCUUCCUAAAUCAACGUAAAUGUUAAUUAAUUUGAUA